GAACGCUAGCUACAGGCUUAACACAUGCAAGUCGAGGGGCAGCGGGAUUGAAGCUUGCUUCAAUUCGCCGGCGACCGGCGCACGGGUGAGUAACGCGUAUCCAACCUUCCGUACACUCAGGGAUAGCCUUUCGAAAGAAAGAUUAAUACCUGAUGGUAUGAUGAGAUUGCAUGAUAGCAUCAUUAAAGAUUUAUCGGUUACAGAUGAACAUGCGUUCCAUUAGCUGGUUGGCGGGGUAACGGCCCACCAAGGCAACGAUGGAUAGGGGUUCUGAGAGGAAGGUCCCCCACACUGGUACUGAGACACGGUCCAAACUCCUACGGGAGGCAGCAGUGAGGAAUAUUGGUCAAUGGGCGAGAGCCUGAACCAGCCAAGUAGCGUGAAGGAUGAAGGUCCUACGGAUUGUAAACUUCUUUUAUACGGGAAUAAAGUUUCCUACGUGUAGGAUUUUGUAUGUACCGUAUGAAUAAGCAUCGGCUAACUCCGUG
rnacentral:rRNA from 1 species